rnacentral:misc_RNA from 1 species
AUUAAGAAGCCACUUUACUAAAAUCCUGUUGUUUGACAAUUACAUUAAAGUAUUCCAGAUGUUGUUGAGUUUUCCACAUGUAAAUACUGUCAUUUUUAUUCUGUUCAUACACACCAAUUUUAAAUAAUGAUGUGGCGAACUUAUUUUUUACCAAGUUGAAUGUUGUAUGGAGAGUAGUGAAUGGUGUGUAAGGAUUGGAUAUUUUAUGCAAGGGUGUGUUAAAGAGAUGUGUGCUCAAAUGGGUGGUUAUUUACAAACCACAUAAAAUAAAAAAUAACUAAACAAAUUCUGUGCUUGACUUUGUACACUUUUUUUCCUCCCAUCUGUUUACAUUUUGCUGGCAUUAUUCAUUAAUUGUUAUAGUAUUCACUUUCCACUCAAGAAAAUCUGAAUCAUUGGAGUUGGAAUGUUACAAAUCUACUUAAAGUUUCUCAAAGUGAAGAUAAAGAUAUAUUAGGAAUGUAAAUUCCAGAGAAAUUUCGGUUUGUGAAAUAAGUGUUCUAUUACGUGGUUAGAGUUGAGAUGUAUCAUGUUAGAUGAGUUAUUACAAGAACAGGUAAUGUAAUCUACAAAAAGAGGAGUUGAGAAUGGAAGAAUCCUAGCCGGAAGUGCACCAGACAGGAAAUAGCAGACCAGCGGAUGUGAACGGUUUGUACCGUGGACUUGACUAUUAUAGAUGAUUUAAUGUUUUGUAGCUUGUUUUGAUAUGUGUAAAUAAUCAUGUGGUAUCCAUUCAAAA